rnacentral:rRNA from 1 species
AUUGAACGCUGGCGGCAGGCCUAACACAUGCAAGUCGAGCGGAGCGGCGGACGGGUGAGUAAUGCCUAGGAAUCUGCCUGGUAGUGGGGGAUAACGUCCGGAAACGGGCGCUAAUACCGCAUACUAUCAGAUGAGCCUAGGUCGGAUUAGCUAGUUGGUGGGGUAAAGGCCUACCAAGGCGACGAUCCGUAACUGGUCUGAGAGGAUGAUCAGUCAAACGGGAAAGAGGACACGGGCCAAACUCCGAGGGGAGGCAGCAGUGGGAAAUAUGGGACAAUGGGCGAAAGCCUGAGGCAGCCAUGCCGCGGAUGGGAAGAAGGUCUUCGGAUGGUAAGGCACUUUAAGUUGGGAGGCGUUACCAACAGAAUAAGCACCGGCUAACUUCGUGCCAGCAGCCGCGGUAAUAC